GGGCUGGUCGUCUAACGGUUAUGAUGCAUCGUUCGCAACGAUGAGGCUCCGGGUUCGAUUAGUUUGCGCUGGCGUGAACAGAUGAGAGCGCAGCUCGACUUUCCCGGCCAGUCCA
rnacentral:tRNA from 1 species